rnacentral:tRNA from 1 species
GGUGAGAUGGCCGAGUGGUUGUGGCGCCGUGUUCAGGUUCACUGAGCAAUCAGGAUCACUAAGCAUUUCGCGGUGGAGCAAUCCGCGUGGGUUCGAGUCCCACUCUCAUCA